AACGUAGGAGACGAACGUUAUCCGGAGUUACUGGGCGUAAAGCGUGCGUAGACGGUUAUUUAAGUCGGGUGUGAAAGCCCCGGGCUCAACCUGGGAAUUGCAUUCGAGACUGAAUAGCUAGGGUACGGUAGAGGGAAGCGGAAUUUCCGGUGUAGCGGUGAAAUGCGUAGAUAUCUGGAGGAAUACCGGUGGCGAAGGCGGCAUCCUGGACCAUUACUGACGCUGAGGCGCGAAAGCUAGGGGAGCAAACGGG
rnacentral:rRNA from 1 species